AUUGAACGCUGGCGGAAUGCUUUACACAUGCAAGUCGAGCGGCAGCGCGGGGCAACCUGGCGGCGAGCGGCGAACGGGUGAGUAAUGCAUCGGAACGUACCCAGUCGUGGGGGAUAACUGUCCGAAAGGACAGCUAAUACCGCAUACGUCCUGAGGGAGAAAGCAGGGGAUCGCAAGACCUUGCGCUGAUUGAGCGGCCGAUAUCAGAUUAGCUAGUUGGUGAGGUAAAGGCUCACCAAGGCGACGAUCUGUAGCGGGUCUGAGAGGAUGAUCCGCCACACUGGAACUGAGACACGGUCCAGACUCCUACGGGAGGCAGCAGUGGGGAAUUUUGGACAAUGGGCGCAAGCCUGAUCCAGCCAUGCCGCGUGAGUGAAGAAGGCCUUCGGGUUGUAAAGCUCUUUCGGCCGGGAAGAAAUCGCACAGGUUAAUACCCUGUGUGGAUGACGGUACCGGAAUAAGAAGCACCGGCUAACUACGUG
rnacentral:rRNA from 1 species